rnacentral:miRNA from 12 species
AAUGGCUAUUGUUAUGUCCUCG